UUGAAUGAAUAUCUUCCCCAUGGUGUAGA
rnacentral:sRNA from 1 species